UUGUUUGAGUGGGUAACAGAGGCUACCACUAUCGCGCUACAUCAUAUUGACACUAUAUCUGUCGGUGUACGUCUAUAAUUAUAAUAUUAUGACUAUAUGUAGUAUGAAAAUAGGUCACCUUAUAGGGAGAUAUACUAUAAUGCUUAUACGUUUAAUUUUAUACACAGAAUUGGUAUAUCAGAUGGUUGGAGAUGUUGUUGAUAUAGGGAUGCAUUCUGUUGGACCAUAUGAUCCAGAGAUAGUGUUGGACAUUUAUAUAAAUUAUGCCAAACUUUUUCAAAAUUUAUAUGAGGAAAUGAGUCAUGGGAUGGUUUACGAACACCAACAUGGUGGAUUUCGGUUUUAUCUUAAUUUAGUUGAGAGCUAUAUACGGAGCCAACAUUUAUACGUAAGGAAUAAAGAAUCGUGGACAACCUUGACGGAUCGAACGAUUAUUUUUGAUAUUUUGAGAGAAGGAUCCAUUUACUUGAACUUUACUUUUCAAAUUUUUAAACAGUAUUGUAACCCAAUUUACAAUGUCAUUUGGAAAAUUCAUAUGUUUUAGUAGGGUUUUUAUAUAAUUGUGUUCAAUACGGUCAAAGGCUUUUUUCCUAAUCAAACGAUAAGAUAUAGGCAUUAGUUUCAUGUGUUUCUAAAUAAUUUAGGAUUGAAUCAAUUAAAUACAGGUUAUCGAAGGUGCUUUUAUUUGGUCCGGCUCCCGUUUGUGUUUUAGAGAUCAAUUUGUUAAUAACUGUGUUCAUUCAUAUACUUAAUAUUUUUGUGAUGAUUUUAUAGUCGACACAUAACAGGCUUAUUGGUCUAUAGUUCUUAAAUAAUCGGUGGUCGCCUCUAUUCUUAUAGACAAACAAUUUAUUCUUAUAAUUAAUUAUUAUUAUACCGGUUCUCAUUGGGUUAGAUAAUUCACCCUGUAGAUAGAUGUUGUUUAUUACUUCUGUCAGGUCGGUUCCUAUUGUGUCAAAGAAUUUGAUAUAGAAAUCUCCUGGAAUACCGUCGAUGCCUGGGCUACGGUUUGAUCUGAAACUUUGUAACGCCUUCAGAUCUUCAUCUUUAGAUAUGAAAUGAGACAGGGAAUCUCUUUCCGUGUUAGGGUAUUUAUGUUACUGUUUUCAAUAUAGGAGUUUAUUAGGUUUUCGACAAUGUUUUGGGUAGUAUAUAGUUGUUGGUAAUAUUGGUGAAUUGU